rnacentral:lncRNA from 1 species
UGGUUCUAGAAUUUUCAGCCUAGCCAUGGACCGAGAGUAUAGGGUACACAGUCACAAGGGAGUGUGGCACAACCUUCUAGGUCUUAUCCUCACUGUAACAUGUGUGGGAGGCACCACCCAGAAAGGUGUCAAUUUGGUACAAUGGUAUGUUAUUCUUGUGGCCAGCCAGGUCAUAUCCAUAGAGAGUGCCCGAUAGAGAGAGGUAAUGUUGGG